AGUCCUUUGUCAAACAAGAGAGGCAAGGGAUAAAAAAAGAAAAAAGAAAAAAAGAAAAAAAAAAAAGCUUUAAGACUUAGCAGUGGGUAAAAAAGAAGAGAUCUGUGAACAUUUUCUAGCUCUCCAGAGCAGAAGGUUUUGGUCCGUUUUGCUUUCAGGCGCUCCUUACCAGAGUCCGCGGUUAAAAGCCAAUGCCUUUUUGGAAGCUUUUCCUUACAGAUGAGAUAUAAAACCAACGCCUGCCUAACCACUUAUGUACAUUAAUGAUCCCACAGUGCUCUACAAAAGAGGAAAAAUAUUAACCCAGGCAUCAUAAUAAUAUUCUGCUUACUUAUAAGCCCCA
rnacentral:lncRNA from 1 species